rnacentral:rRNA from 1 species
GACGGAGGGUGCUAGCGUUGUUCGGAAUCACUGGGCGUAAAGGGCGCGUAGGCGGCCUGGAAAGUCAGAUGUGAAAGCCCGGGGCUCAACCCCGGAACGGCAUUUGAGACUCCCUGGCUGGAGGUCGAGAGAGGAGAGUGGAAUACCCAGUGUAGAGGUGAAAUUCGUAGAUAUUGGGUGGAACACCAGUGGCGAAAGCGGCUCUCUGGCUCGAACCUGACGCUGAGGCGCGAAAGCGUGGGGAGCAAACAGG